GACAGAGGGGGCAAGCGUUGCUCGGAAUCACUGGGCGUAAAGGGCGCGUAGGCGGGAUGGCAAGUCGGUCGUGAAAUCCCUGGGCUCAACUCAGGGGGGUCGGCCGAUACUGCCGUUCUUGAGGGAUGCAGAGGAGACUGGAAUUCCCGGUGUAGCGGUGAAAUGUGUAGAGAUCGGGAGGAACACCGGUGGCGAAGGCGGGUCUCUGGGCAUUCCCUGACGCUGAGGCGCGAAAGUGUGGGGAGCAAACAGG
rnacentral:rRNA from 1 species